rnacentral:lncRNA from 1 species
CACAAUGCAAAUACGAAGUGUGAGGGAGCCGCCUUGGCAAGCAGUGACAGGGGGCUUUGUAAGCGGGUGGGUGUGCCACUACCCCUCCUCAUAAGUCACCCGAAAGCCUGGUCCUCGGUCCUCCUCGCUCCCGCGCCGUGGACCCAGAGGCAGCGUCCCAGUGUAGAUGCAGCGCCCACGCGCGCCGCCCUCGCCAGCUCCCAGAAGUCUUUGUGGCGAACCACUGACCGUGCUACUCCCUAUUUUUCCUCCAGCCCAGCAAAUAAUGUGUCAGAAAAAGAUUAUUGAUAGCCCAUAAAAGAGCAUCCAGAAUGUUGUUGCCUCUC